CGGGGUAUGGCGCAGUCUGGUAGCGCACCUGCUUUGGGAGCAGGGGGCCACAGGUUCAAAUCCUGUUACCCCGACCA
rnacentral:tRNA from 1 species